CGGAAGUCUAAGGUACUGUUACUACUAUAGUGAAGUAAAUGGGGCUAUUUUCUCCUUCCCUGCAUCUCAUGGAGAUUCCUUUAUGUUGUUCCUCAGAGCAGCAGCAGCCACACAGGCUGGUCUCUUCUAGCGCCAAGGAGGACAAGAAAGUUAUCCUGUGGCCUCUGGCAGGGAAUGAAGGCAUUCCAGAAUUCAGUGGAGUGGUGACAUCAGAACCAUCUUUGAUUCACACUGUUUGCAGGAGAAAGUCUGCUUUGUGAAAAGCAGGUUAACCAGAUUACUUCUUUACCAGAUUACUACCUUCAGUGGACAUGAUGAAAAAUUGAUCACCAUCUUCUUUGUAACAGCCGUUAACAUAUUUGAAGACUUGUCAUGUCCCCCGCCACCCCACCCCAGUCUUCUUUUCUCAAGACUAAACAUGCCCCAUUUUUAUAACCCUUUCCUCAUAGGUCAUAUCUUCUGAACCUUUUGUAUCACUGAAAUUCUCCAGAGUCAAAUGAAAAUCAAGAUGUUGAAAAUAAAAGCAGCGAUAAACCACUUUAGAUACAGUCAUAAGUGCUCCAUUUGUCUGUUCAAACUGCAUGAUAAAAUUUGGAGAAUUAUGCUGAAAUUGACAGGAUUUAAAGAAUAUGACAAGAACCUAAGGAAACUGCCCUGAAAAGAAGAGUUUCAACUUGAUACAAUGUGUAAUGGCUGAAAUAUCAAACCUGAAAAAUUAGCUAUUGUAAUA